GCGGCGGUAGCUCAGUUGGUAGAGCUCUCGGUUGUGGUCCGAGCGGUCGCGGGUUCGAGUCCCGUCCGUCGCCCCA
rnacentral:tRNA from 1 species